UUUCACGCCGGUGAAAGAGGAGCACUUUCCCUGUGCUUGCUGCAAGGUUUUCUGCUCCCUCGCCUUCUCCUCCUCGCCAUUCGCUGUUCCUCUUCUCCUUCGGUGUGUUCGUCGAUGUGCUUUGCUGAGUGAUAAUGGCGAACGCGAGGUGAUUUGAGAAGGGCUUUGCUGCUGUGAUUGGUUGUUCUUGGUUUACUUCACCCUGUUGCUUCGGUGGACUUUCUGGUGAUCUGAUCUGUUCAUCUAGCUGUUUGGUCUUGCUGGUGGUGGUGGGUGAGUGUUGGGUGCGCAGGCUCUGGGAUUACCAUGGGUGAUACUUCAAUUGAUAAGCUUUUUGAAGGGGAUGACAACUCCCGUCUUCUUGCCCGGGUAUCUAGGCUCUGGGAAUUCACUGAUUGCAAGGAUGCUACCAAAAUUUAUCACAUCGAUCUUGUACUUGUUGAUGAGAAGGGUGGCAGCAUUCAUGCACAGAUAUUCCCUCCACUUAUCCAGGUGUUCAAGCCUUUGCUGGCAGAAGGAAAGGUUUAUUAUUUGGAUUCAUAUCGUGUGAAAACAUCCAACAAAAGCUAUAGGCCAGUGGCCAAUCCACUAAUGAUGACUUUCACUAAGUGGACAUCUGUUGAGCAAUGCCUUGAUGUGCCUUUCAAUUUCCCUACUGUUGUAUACUCUCUGACUCCUUUGAACGAGGUGUCAAACUUUGUGGACAAGAAUGAGUCCUUUGUUGAUGUCAUCGGGUUCAUUACUGAAAUAUCUACACCUACGAUGCUACGUCCUAAGUCAAGGGAUGUUAGCAGCUUGAAAAGGACAGUUCAGAUAUGUGAUACAAAGUAAUGUUUCCUAUAUAGCUCAAUUCUUAGUUCAUGUUUACUUAAUUUUGUUAACCACUAAUGUCUAACGAAAAAAGUUAUCAAACAAGGCUAACAUCCACUCUAAUAAAGUUUACCUAUCUUCUUAACAUAUCUGCCACAUUUUCUCCUUCUAUCUUUUACACAAAUAGCAAUUCUACCUUGAAUGUAUCUUUGUGGGCUGAACAAGCACUGGCAUUUGAUGCUGAGAGUAUACACAAAGCUGGACAAAGUGAGCCUCAAAUUGUUCUGUUUGUUGGGACCCUUGCAAAGAACUAUCCUGGCAUAGGGUUAGCUCUGUCUGGAGGCUCUGCAUGCAAGUGGUACAUUAACAUAGAUGUACCUGAGAUGGUUGAUCUAAAGAAUAGGAUUGGAGCAAACUUCCAGCCAAUCAAACUACUUCAGGCACCAGCCACAAACAUUGCUGAUGAAAUUGCUGAUGACAAAACUGUGAGAGAACUCUUGGACAUGAAUCCUCAUAAAAACAGGAGGUCUCGAUUUCAAGCAAAUUUGACUAUUCGGAAAAUAUGCAACGAUAGCUCUUAGUGGUACAAUUCAUGCGAAAAGUGUCUUAGGGUUGUCAAACCAUUUGGUUACACCUACAAGUGCACUGGUUGCUACAAUAUUGCAAUGGCAGUACCAAGGUACAAGUUAUCGGUCUUAGCUGGGGACGAUACUGCGGAUGCUGUGUUUAUUCUCUUUGGGAAAAUAGCUCAGCGCAUUGUGCGAAAGCCAAUUGAGCUUCUUGUCGAGCAGACACCCAAGGAGAGCAAAUUUAUCCCUGAUGCAAUAACAGCUCUGCUUGAGAGAUCAUUUACAUGAAAUGUCAGCUUCACAGAGAAUACACUUAGGACUGGGGAUGUAUCAUUCCAGGUUAACAGUGUGAUCUCCAUGAGGGUUCUUGGGGAACCUCUUAUGCUAAUGUCCCUAGGACCAGCAGAUUCUCCUGGUUCUUCAGCUAUCAUGUCACCUAGACCAAGCACUUCCAUCAUGUCACCCACAAGAACAUCUGAGAUUGCCAUUUCCUCACCUCCAUCAGCUACAAUAGCUUCUCCAGUAACCGGGCGUGCAGCACCUCAAACACCAACUAGCAGACUUUCUUUGGCUACCACAGAGCAAGCAAGUCAUGUUGAUCCACUGUCUCCACCCAUAACUCAAGCAGUGGCCUCUGAGAGUACAGAAAUGGUACUGCUUUCCAUGCUUACAAAUGUUUGCUAUAAACUAUAAGAAUAUGUACAUAUCACAGUAAGAAGCUAGCACUUUACUUGCAGAAACAGAAGGCUAUUAUUAUUUCUGAUGACAUCACGCUGCCACUGGCUGCAUCUAUUCCAAACAGCUCAACCAAGAAAAGAACCCGCCCACUUCAGGCUUCACCAACAGCUAAAAAACUGUUCACUGAUGAUGGUGCUCAGGAAAAGGAGGAAAAGGAGGCUACUGACAGCCUGUCAGAUACCGCUUGAUCAUAUGCUCAUCUGGCUGAACUAUUUUGGGCAUUGACUUAUGGAAUCUUCAUGGGCAUGUGAAAGAAACAAUAGCAUGCUCACAUGUCUAGAUCUUUUGCUCCAGACUUUACUCCAGACUUUAGACAUUUAUCUCUUAUUAAUUAGUACCAAGUGAAAAUGUACUGAGAUUUCUUUUGGACAACUACCUCUAUGUAUAAGUGCACCUAUUAUUAUUAUGCCAGCUAUCAUCCCACCACAUGCUCAUGGUCCAUUACUAUUGCAUCUGCGAUAGCAUGGCAAUGAACCCUGAACAGUUGGCUCGGGCAAAGCUACAUGGCCC